GACGAACGCUGGCGGCGUGCUUAACACAUGCAAGCCGAACGGAAAGGCCCUGCUUUUGUGGGGUGCUCGAGUGGCGAACGGGUGAGUAACACGUGAGUAACCUGCCCUUGACUUUGGGAUAACUUCAGGAAACUGGGGCUAAUACCGGAUAGGAGCUCCUGCUGCAUGGUGGGGGUUGGAAAGUUUCGGCGGUUGGGGAUGGACUCGCGGCUUAUCAGCUUGUUGGUGGGGUAGUGGCUUACCAAGGCUUUGACGGGUAGCCGGCCUGAGAGGGUGACCGGCCACAUUGGGACUGAGAUACGGCCCAGACUCCUACGGGAGGCAGCAGUGGGGAAUAUUGCACAAUGGGCGGAAGCCUGAUGCAGCAACGCCGCGUGCGGGAUGACGGCCUUCGGGUUGUAAACCGCUUUCGCCUGUGACGAAGCGUGAGUGACGGUAAUGGGUAAAGAAGCACCGGCUAACUACGU
rnacentral:rRNA from 1 species